GUUCAGUCUAUCUGGCCUACAUUUUUUUUAUUGUUCGUGGUUUUAUGAAGAUCUUUUUCUUUACACAUGCUCUGCAAGGACAGGGGCUGAUUAUUGCUGCUGUUCUGGUUUUAUAUGGGUUUGUGGGAAGAGGGAAUGGGGCAGGUCUGAUCAAAACUUUUGCUGUAUGUGUUGUGUCAGUAGCGGGCUCUCUACACCAUCCUGGGGCUGUAAGAGUCUGGAGGAGCCCAGUGCUCACAGGAGGCAGUGGAUGGGAGGUGUCCUCAAGCUGGCUUUGUCAUGGGCUGUUUCUCUAGUGGCUGUUGAGCAGGUAGAUGGGAACAGCAUUGAGGAGGGUAUUUGGUGAUCAAGCUGUGUGGUCAGCUCUUCGUUUUUGCUGUGGCUCCAAGUCUGCUGAAUCUGGCCAGCUGAGUUCAGAGUAGUCUGAGAACCACAUGCAGCAUGCUAUCUGGUGAACAGUGAGGUAGUGCUACCUGUUUGGCAUACCUCGUUGUCUCAGAGAAAACAUUACAUUUUACAUGAGCUACAUCACUGUUCCUGCUUUGCGUGACUCUGGGCUGAGCUGUUCUCUCAAAGGCUCAGCUUUGGGUGUCUAGAUUCAUUUCAGCGUGAAAUAUCAGGAUGUCAAGCCCAUAUUGAAUGCAUUGGAACCAAAGAAAAACAUUUCUGCAAACCCUUGUGUUGCAGAAGCAGCUUCACAUGCGGUUCUACUCCAGAGCCUUGCAGCCUCACAUGUGGUGCCUCACAGGCAGCCCUUGGUGUGUGGGUGGACGCAGCUGUGCUGGGCUGUUUUGUUGUUGUUUUUUUUGUUUUGUUUUAAGCUUCUGCCCUGUAAAAUUCUCUCCUCUUUUCUGCUGUGUCUGAAAUCAGUUGAAAUGGAUAACUGCGUUGUCCAUACUGCAGUGCCCACUCUAAGGGAUUUCUGAUUGGGUUAUGCAGUUUCUCAGUCUACCUCCUGGACUGUGGUAGAAAAAUGAUCUGAGGAGCUUGCAGCUGCUCUGUCACUGCUGGGCAACCUCUCGUGCAGGGGUUUGGUUAUG
rnacentral:lncRNA from 1 species